rnacentral:rRNA from 1 species
UACGGAGGGUGCAAGCGUUGUUCGGAAUCACUGGGCGUAAAGCGCGUGUAGGCGGCCUCCUCAGCCUGGUGUGAAAGCCCGGGGCUCAACCCCGGAAGUGCAUUGGAUACUGGGAGGCUGGAGUACCGGAGAGGAGGGUGGAAUUCCUGGUGUAGCGGUGAAAUGCGUAGAUAUCAGGAGGAACACCGGUGGCGAAGGCGGCCCUCUGGACGGAUACUGACGCUGAGACGCGACAGCGUGGGGAGCAAACAGG